CCCUUAGAUGUUCUGGGCUGCACGCGUGCUACACUGAUGCGCUCAACGAGUUUAUAACCUUGUCCGGCAGGAUUGGGUAAUCUUUUUAAAACGCAUCGUGAUGGGGAUAGAUUAUUGCAAUUAUUAAUCUUCAACGAGGAAUUCCUAGUAAGCGCGAGUCAUCAGCUCGUGCUGAUUACGUCCCUGCCCUUUGUACACACCGCCCGUCGCUCCUACCGAUUGAGUGGUCCGGUGAGGCUUUGGGAUCUGAGCGGAAAGAGCGUUUCGCUGUUUCUGCCCGGAAAACUCAGUCGAACCUUAUCAUUUAGAGGAAGGAGAAGUCGUAACA
rnacentral:rRNA from 1 species